rnacentral:lncRNA from 1 species
AAACCUGAAAUACGUCACAACCACAAGGUAAAGUCCAUCCAAUAGCGGGGUAAACCAAUCCGAUAAGAACUCUGGUAAGUUCAUCCAAACUUUCUCUACUUCAAGCGCCAAGGAUCCUCAUCUAAUGUUUCCUUUAACGAACAAGCCCCAUGACUCGAAUAAUUUACAGAGGCCCAACCUUAUCGGCCCAUCAUCUAGUAGAGGCUCCAUCCUAAAUGAUAUAAUUGGCAUUCCCCCAUUAAUUUUGGACUGACCUAAAACGUUAUCGAUAAUGGACCCGAGGCCCACCCCAUUAUCCCCAAGCCUCAUGUGGGUCCAAACACCACCACGGUGAAGCCCAAUUCUGAGUCCCGGGGAAAAUUAGGCCCAACAACCAUAUCUCGCCCUCUAUUUUUACUCCUCAAAUCUCGAUACCAAUUUUAGUACUCUUCAUCCCAUUCAGGCUGAGAUUUAUCCUACAGCUCAAAGCAAUAAGGAAUCUGUAACACCCCAACUUAGGAAGGAGUCUCACAUCGGCAAAACACGGGAGGGAUGCUGGGUAUAUAAAUGAGAAAGCAUUACUCCCUAGUGACGUAUUUUAAAGCCGUGCGGGCCUAGGAUCAGAGCAGAUAAUAUCACUAGUGGGUUGGUCAGAGACAGGGGUAUCUCAGGCCUGUGUGGUUUGGGAUGCCUAUCGCGGCCAGGUCCUCUGGCCGGGUUGUGACAGAAUGGUAUCAAAGCCACUCUUGUGUCAUCCCUGUCAAUGUGGGCCAGGGUUUAAACUGAGUGUAGGCAAAUCCCGGUAAGGCGGGACAAACCUCAGUCCUGAGUCUAGGCAAAUCCCAUUAGGUGGGGUAAACCUCAGCGAGGACGCUGAGUUCGUAAGGGGGGUGUUUAUAACACCCCAACUUAGAAAGGAGUCCCACAUCAGUAAAGGAGAGAACCCUGAACCCUAAACCCUGAUGAACCCUGAACCCUAAACCCUAAUGAACCUUGAACCCUGAACCCUGAUGAACCCUAAACCCUGAGGCCUAGGCGCAGAGUGGACAAUAUCACUAGUGGGUUGGACAGAGACAGGGGUAUCUUGGGUCUGUGUGGUUUGGGAUGCCCGUUGCAGCCAGGGCCUCGGGCUGGGUCGUGACAGAAUCUUUCCUUAUUUCUCUAAAUAAAAAAGGUAAAGAGUUUCUUAAGGAACUUCUAUCCCAGAUAUUAAAAUCCUCAGGAACUCAAAUAUCUGGGCCCUUUCCAAAAGGAAUGACGGCUCCUUUCACUGAGAGUCCCGCAGUUGACUUGAUGGAUGUUGUCCAUCAAUCAUUAAAUGAUGAUGGUCCUAAUAAUGCCAAAACUCUUGGCUUCCCACAUAAGGCAGGAGUUUCUACUCAAAAUGUCCUUGCUCACUCAAACUCUCUUUAUUUUGAUAACUCAUGCAAUGGCCUUCACUCUCCCGAGCUCAAAGAUACCAUUAACUUUUCUCUCAGAACCCCCAUCACUAAAUCACCAACCAACAUCUUAGUUGGAAUUGAGCUUCACAUUGCUGACAGUGCUACUAACGUUGGAAAUAGAUGGAAGAAAAAUCAUAAUCCUCAUCUAUAAUCCAAUUUACCUAGCACAGGUGAUAAGGGAAGCACUGAACCAGGGCCUCUUCAACUUUGGCCAACAUAUCUGGCUAUCUACAAUCUCCCAGAUAAUGUUGAAGAUGAGCUAAGACAAAAUAAUGUUGGAGAGCAUAGUAGAGGCUCUGAACUCCAUGAGCAUGGCCAUCCCCUCCCCUCCUCUGAAUCAGGAACUAUUUCUCCAAGGCCCAACUUUUGCAGUAGACUCUGGGGCCCCCCACCAUUAAGAUCUCCUCCCCAAAACCACCUUUCACAUCGUGCAAUAGAACUACAUGAAAGGAAACUGACUCUAGAAAUGUUGAGAAACUAAAACAAGGAAAUAAAGGACCUUUUAGCUAUCCUAAGAGUUCUAAAAAUAGAAGCAACUAUUCUAGAAAGGUCACUCACUCUAGAGUUCACCGAUCUAAUCCACGAAAUGGUCAUUAUCCUACUUUCAUGAGACUUAGAAAAACUAGAAGUAGUCAUCAGGCCACCAAACCCUAUGAAAGAGAACCAUUUUUAGAUAAAGAUGAGGCUCCUAUCCAAGAAAAGAAAGGAGCCAGAGGGCGCGCCCAUCGACAAAACCCAUACAGGGGAAGGGGAAGAAAGUUAUGACUCAUAAUUCCAAAACUCUAAAAUCAAUGCUAAUGAAUUGUAUAAUAUGGAAUAUGAGCAGAGUCAACAAUACUAAGUUUCAAAGACAUUGCAAGUCCAUGAUCAGCACACAUAAGCCUAUUAUGUUGGUCCUUCUAGAAACCAAGAUGGCUGGCCACUUUACUCUAACUGAUGAGUUGGGGUUCCAAUAUUACAUCCAAUCAAGUGCAAUCAGAGCCUCAGGAGGGAUUGUUAUUAUGUGUAAAGAUGAAUCCCUCAAUAUCAGUGACAUUACCAUCAAUAACCAAGUUAUCCAUGUCUCUAUAAAGGUUAGUAGCCCCCUUUCGAAUUGAUUCUUUACUGUCAUCUGUGCUAGCAAUAGUUUAGAAGAUAAGAAACUCAUUUGAGACUUUCUUAUUAACUUAGCCCCUACAAUCCAUAACUCUUCCACGAAAGGAUGGCUUGUUGGGGGAGACUUUAAUGAAAUCCUCAGGGCCUUUGAAAAAUUUGGAGGCAAUAACAUCAAUAAUAAUAGAGCCUUCCUCUUCUGAAACUGUAUUAACCAGUGUAGCAUAUAAUCUUUGAUUUAAAGGGAGUAAAUACACCUGGUCUAAUAUGAGAUAUAGAAAUAGACAUGGACUUAUUCUAGAAAGGUCGGAUAGGUAUCAUGCCAACUCCCAUUAGGUACACUAAUACCCUGAAGCCACUGUGACUCAUCUACCUAGGACUCACUCUGACCACUCCUAUAUCCUUCUUAGUCUAGAAAAGUCACCCUCUUACACUCUCAAACCUUUCAGAUUGAAACUAUAUGGUGCUCUCAUUUUGGUUUUAAAGAAGUCAUCCACAACAUCUUCCAUAAUAGCCUUGACCUCACUAGUGCCAUCUCUGACUUUGAAGAGGCUAUCACUAUUUGGAAUAGAGAUAUACUUAGGAAUAUCUUCCAUAUGAAGAAACAUAUCUUGGCUAGACUAGUUGGGAUUUAGAGUUCCCCUCAUUACCUUACCCGUAGUUUUCUUCAGAACUUAGAGCUCUCCCUAAAUCAACAGUUCUCAGACAUUCUCAGACAUGAAUGUGAAUUUUGGAAAUUGAAAUCCAGAAUUAAUUGGUUGAUGGAGGGGGACUCCAACACUAAGUUCUUUCACACAGUCACCCUUAACAGAAGGAGUUGAAAUAAAAUCAAUGGUCUCUAUUAGAGCUGUCAAUACGGGUUGGCCCAGCCCAUACGGGCUUUAAGUUUGAUGGGUUAGGCCGGGCUGGCCCAUUUAAAUAAAGGACCAAAAAACGCUAAGCCCACGCUAUUACCCUGUGGGCUGCAGGCCUUACAGGCCUGCCCGUUUUUUAAAAAAUAAUAUUUUAUUAUUUAGUUUUACACUGUUAAUAAACAUAAAUAGUUAUCACACAAUAACACAUAGUAUUAAUGUUUGUUAAUCAAAAGGGAGCCAAAGCUCGAAUCACCCAAAGUAGGAAGAAAACGAAAAUGUGAUACUACUCAAUGGGAAACAUCACGGCUGAAAGUCGAUGCGCAUUGAGGGAGAUAUAGUGAAGAGGAGGAGGCUAGUUGAACUAAAGAAAUUAGGAAAAUGAAGAGUACAAUGUACUCUUUAUAUCUUAGUGGUAGAUAUUUAAUUAUUUUAUUAUUUAUUAGAUAGGAAAGUAGGAAACUUUCCAGUUUCCAUUUUCUUUAUUAAUGGAACCGGUCAAUGGUCAUCAUUGGACUUGAUUGUUUUUUAACUCUUUUAUUAUUUUUCAGUAUUUUAUUUUAUUUUAAAAUUAUUUAUUAUUUGACUGACGGGCCGGCCCACGGGCUAGCCCAACCCAUAUUCCUCAAGCCCUACGGGCCAUGGGCUUAUCCGGGCCGGGCUAAAAAACCCUGUUCUUGAAUGAGCUGCAAAAAUUGAAGCCCACCCCAUCAAAUUACAGGCCGAGCCAAGCUGGCCCACCGGGCCUUGGCCUAUAUUGACGGUUCUAGUCUCUAUGAUGACCUGGGGAACUGGUUCUAUAAUCACAAGGUAUUACAAACCAUAUUAAGGCUUCUUACCACUCCCUCUUCAGCACUGAUCAUCAGUGUUCCAAGAGACUUUGCCAAAAAAGCCUUACUCAAAAGGGUACCAUUGACUCUAGACACUAUGAUUUCUUGGAUGUUAUAGCAUCCAUUGCUGAGAUCAAGAAGGUUGUCUUCUCCUUUAAACCUACUAAAGCCUCGGGACCUGAUAGUCUUCACCGUCUCAAAUUUUAAAAAUAUUAGGAUUCCAUAAGCCAUCCUCCUAAAAUUUUAUACUAAAACCGUCACAACCUAUAAGAUAGAGGAGACUGCAAACUCUACUUACCUCUGUCUUAUUUCAAAAUGCAACAAUGCCACCUCUCUGAGAAACUUUAGACCCAUUGGGUUAUGUAAUACCCAAUAUAAGAUCAUCACCAAGAUCAUUGCUAAUUGCAUCAAACACUUUCUCCCCCCAUCAUCAGUGUUGCCCAAGCUAGUUUCUUCUUCAAGAGAAAAGUCUCUGACAAUGCCAUCAUUGUCCAGGAGUUCAUCUCUACCUUCUGCAAAAUGAAAGGAAAGAAAGCUAAAAUGAUCCUAAAAAUUAAUUUGGAGAAGGCUUUAAUAGACUUGAAUGAUCUUUUAUAAGACAAGCCCUCCAUUACUUUAACUUUCCUAAGGGCCUGACAAAGCUAAUCAUGUAUUGUAUUUCCUCUUCUAGGAUUUCCAUCCUAGUUAAUAGAAGAAAGACUGACUUCUUCAGCCGUUCUAGAGGUAUUAGACAGGGAGACCCCAUGCCCCCUAUAUCUUUAUCCUUUAUGAAACUUCUCUCAAGGAGAAUUGAGUAUGAAGUUGACUUCCUGAAAUAGAAUCUCAUUUCAAUCAGUAAUAGAGGUCCCAAAAUCUCCCACCUCUUUUUUGCUAAUGACCUCCUCCUCUUUGCUAAAGCUAAUGUUGCCAAUAACACUACCAUCAUGGAUACCCUUACUAGUUUUAGCUGUCAUUCUGGCCAGAAAGUCAACAUCAGAAAAUCCAAGGUCUUCUUCCCCAAGAAUGCCAAGAAUGAUCUUAAACGUAACAUUCUAAACAUUCUUUAAAUCCCCCCUUACAACUGUUUUGGGAGAUGUUUAGUCUUCUUAUAUUUCAUAAAAAAAACUCAAAAUGGAAACUUUUAUUUCAUUAUUAAUAACCUCAAUAAUAGGGUAGCAGGCUGGAAGACCAACUUCCUUAAUAUUACUAGCAGAAUCACUCUUGCCAAAGCUUGCCUUAGUAGUAUCCCUAACCACAUCAUGUAGUACAUCCAUCUCUCCUUCAAGAUCCACAAGCCCAUUAACAGAGCUUAAUGAAACUUCAUAUGGGGGAUUACCAGUACUAGAAAAAAUGCACAGGGUUGGAUGGUAAACCAUAACUAAGCCAAAAAUGAAGCAGUUCUAGGUCUCCAGAAGGCUAGCAUAAAAAUGAUGCUGCCCUCCGCAGCUUAGCCUGGAGGCUCAAAACCAACCCUACCUCCUUGUGGGCCAGCAUUAUCACCAGUAAAUAUAACUAGGAAAAUGUAAGGCUUGAAAGCAAUUACUCUAGAACGUGGGAAAAUAUUUAUAAAGCCUGGAACCUCUGUAGGGAUGCCUCCCAGUAGAUUAUCCACUCUAGGAAAAAGUUGACCUGUGUUGAGAUAGAUGGCUGCCCAAUCAUCCCUCUUUGGGCGGCCUCAUUCAAGGUCCCAUUCCCCUCAAUGACAGUGACAGGAAACUGAACAUUAAUUGGAAUAAGAGGGUUGGAAUUUUACUUCUCUUUCUUUCAACAUCCUUGAUCAAGUCACACAAGCUAUUGGAGAUACUUUCUUCCAUAUUAGGAAUCCUAAGAAGGAUACCCUCAUCUAGAGACUUAACUCUAAUGGUCUCUUUACUUGUAUGAAUGCCUAUGUUUUUCUUUUUCUAAUGCCAAUUGAGUGGUCAAUUUUGGAUUGACCUUAUCCAGAAAUUAAAUGAGUCUUCCAUUAACCCCACUCACUUCUCCCUUUAAAACCAGCCUACUACUUAGACAUAGCUAAAUAAAAAAAAUUGACAGUUUUGUCUUUUGGAGUACACUCCUUCCAUUUUGUCUUUGAAUUAUCUGAAAAAAUAAGAACAGCAAUAGCUUCAACAAUGGUAAUGACCUUCCCUCAUUUGUACAAGAUUACUCUAAAGUUGUAGAGUCCUCCCAACUUUUACAUGAGUCCAACAACAACACCCCUAACACUAUCUCCCUUCAAUGGGAAACUCCCAGAUAGGAUUCUAUAAACUUAACACAGAUGGAUCCUGUUUGGGGAACCCGGGGAAAGAAGGGAUAGGAGGAAUCUUUACAGACCAUUCAGGAAACUGGACCCUUGGUUUUAGUAAAAUAUAUAAUACAACAACCAAUAACUAGAUGAAGCUACUUGCUCUUGGAAAAGGUCUCAACUUAGCUCUUCAGAAAAACCUCAAACCUCUGGAAAUCAACAUAGAUUCCAAUGAGGUAAUAAGCAUGCUCCAUAAUGGUAAUCCCCAUUAUAAUCCUCUACUUGAUGAUUGCAGGUUGAUGCUAAAAGAACUAAGAGGAGCAGUCGUUAAACAAUGCUACAGAAAGCAGAAUGAAGUUGUUGAUGUUUUGGCAAAGAAAGUUGUUGUAAUAGAAGCUCUCAGAAGCCUUAACCUUUUUGUAGUCCCACCUGUGUAUGCAUUGGACCAAGUAUGGGC